CGAAUUGGUUUACUUCGGUAAACUGAUUAGUGGCGGAAGGGUUAGUAAUACAUGAAUAACCUACCUUUUACACGAGGAUAACGAUUGGAAACGGUCGCUAAUACUCGAUAUAAUGUAGUAAGAUAGCUUACAAACAUAAAACGAUGGGGAUCUUUUGACCUAUCGGUAGAAGAGGGGUUCAUGGGAUAUCAGCUUGUUGGUAGGGUAAAGGCCUACCAAGGCAAAGACGUCUAGGCGGAUUGAGAGAUUGACCGCCAACACUGGGACUGAGACACUGCCCAGACUCCUACGGGAGGCUGCAGUCGAGAAUCUUUCGCAAUGGGCGAAAGCCUGACGAAGCGACGCCGUGUGAACGAAGAAGGCCUUCGGGUUGUAAAGUUCUUUCGCCUAGGAACAAGGUAUUUAUGUAAAUAAUGUAAAUAUUUGAGGGUACUAGGUAAAGAAGCACCGGCUAACUCCGUGCCAGCAGCUGCGGUAAUACGGAGGGUGCAAGCAUUAAUCGGAAUUAUUGGGCGUAAAGGGCGCGUAGGCGGUUUAAAAAGUCAUUUUGUGAAAUUCCAGGGCUUAACCUUGGAGCUGCAGAUGAAACUUUUAGACUAGAGGAUAGGUGGAGAAAAUGGAAUUCCCCGUGUAGCGGUGAAAUGCGUAGAUAUGGGGAGGAACACCGGUGGCGAAAGCGAUUUUCUAACUUAUGACUGACGCUGAGAGCGCGAAAGCAAGGGGAGCAAACAGGAUUAGAUACCCUGGUAGUCCUUGCCGUAAACGAUGCAUACUUGAUGUGACUGGGCUCAACCCUGGUCGUGUCGAAGCUAACGCGAUAAGUAUGCCGCCUGGGGAGUACGCUCGCAAGGGUGAAACUCAAAAGAAUUGACGGGGGCCCGCACAAGCAGUGGAGCAUGUGGUUUAAUUCGAUACUACGCGAAGAACCUUACCCAGACUUGACAUGCAGAUCAAUAUAUGAGAGAUUAUAUAGCCUUUCGGGGGAUCUGUGCAGGUGCUGCAUGGCUGUCGUCAGCUCGUGCCGUGAGGUGUUGGGUUAAGUCCCGCAACGAGCGCAACCCUUAUCGUUAGUUGCCAUCAGGUAAUGCUGGGGACUCUAACGAGACUGCCUAGGUUAACUAGGAGGAAGGUGAGGAUGACGUCAAGUCAGCAUGGCCCUUAUGUCUGGGGCUACACACGUGCUACAAUGGUAGAUACAAAGGGCAGCGAAACCGCGAGGUGGAGCAAAUCUCAAAAAGUCUAUCUCAGUUCGGAUUGUAGUCUGCAAUUUGACUACAUGAAGCUGGAAUUGCUAGUAAUGGCGAGUCAGCUAUAUCGCCGUGAAUACGUUCUCGGGCCUUGUACACACCGCCCGUCACAUCAUGGAAGUUGGUUUUACCCAAAGUCGCUGACUUAACCGCAAGGGAAGAGGCGCCUAAGGUAAGGCUGAUGACUGGGAUGAAGUCGAACAAGGUA
rnacentral:rRNA from 1 species